UCUUUCACUCUCAUUUUGCUUCUCUUCUUCUUCGCCGGGUGAAAACCCUAUCAGAGAGUUUCUUCAGUCUUGUCUUAUUAACCAGAUCUUUACUGUAACUUCCGGUACUAUGUUACCGCGGAAUUUUUCUUUUGUGAGAAAUCCAAAUGCAAUUCUUUCUAAUUUAUAUUGAAAUUUUCAUCUUGUAAUCAUCUCUAAUGUAGGAUUAAGUUCAUGUUGCACUUGGUUCUUUAUUUGAUGUCAAAGAACAACUAGAGGAAUAACAAGUUAUGUAUCAAUCCAUCAUCUUAUUCUGCUGCUAAGAAAUCUACCAAACAAUUCCCUCUUGAUUCAAAGAUACAAUAUUUUUACAUUUGAGACCAGACGUAGACCAGAUAUCUGCACAAUAGUAGGGACCUUUUACAAAGUCUGGCAAAGCAAACAAAGAGAGCAGUAAAAUCAAAUCUUGAGAUGGCUUGCCAUUUAUCUGCUGCUGGAUUCACCGUCUCUUUUAGGUCUCCACCGUUUGCUCCAUAAUAUUGUUUUCGUGAUUAAUCGAGGAUCGCUCUGUUGCUUGCCGCGUGCUCAGAACCCCCUUUUCAACGACCACCACUAGCUUCUGAAGGUAAUGAUGAUGUUGAGUUCGACAGUGGGAAUGGCGAUGUAUCGAGUAGUUAAUUAAUUUGAUUUUCAUUUUUUUUUGUACUUUGUAUUCAUUUGUGGCAUAUGGUCAAGUGUCUAGUCAAAAGUGUAUGUUUCAUUUUGUGUACUUAAGGAUUAAACCUUCAUUCUCUCCAGUUCGGUUCGUUUAAUCAAAAAUGGACAUGAGUGCAUAUAUAGCUCCAGCAGGCUACUCCUCGUCCCAUCGGUUCGUUUAAUCGAAAAUGGACAUGAGUGCAUAGAUAGCUCCAGCAGGCUACUCCUCAUCCCAAGGAUGCAUACUUAUCAAAUAGAAGAUGUGUGAAGGCUAUGUGCAGGUGUGUCUCUACUUGGGAAUUGUAAAAGAAAAAGUAAAGAAAUACUGUUAAGAAUAGAUCUAACGAUUGUAAAUUGUGUAGAUGAACGAUGAAAGUAUUCACUAAAUAGUCUGUGCAUUUAGUCAUCUGAAAUUAGUUUGUUUACAAUCAUCUUCUGUGUGAUCUGAA